UGCUACCUGAUUCAGCGGCGGACGGGUGAGUAAUGCCUAGGAAUCUGCCCGAUAGUGGGGGACAACGCUUCGAAAGGAACGCUAAUACCGCAUACGUCCUACGGGAGAAAGUGGGGGAUCUUCGGACCUCACGCUAUCGGAUGAGCCUAGGUCGGAUUAGCUAGUUGGUGAGGUAAUGGCUCACCAAGGCGACGAUCCGUAACUGGUCUGAGAGGAUGAUCAGUCACACUGGAACUGAGACACGGUCCAGACUCCUACGGGAGGCAGCAGUGGGGAAUAUUGGACAAUGGGCGAAAGCCUGAUCCAGCCAUGCCGCGUGUGUGAAGAAGGUCUUCGGAUUGUAAAGCACUUUAAGUUGGGAGGAAGGGCAGUAAGCUAAUACCUUGCUGUUUUGACGUUACCAACAGAAUAAGCACCGGCUAACUUCGUGCCAGCAGCCGCGGUAAUACGAAGGGUGCAAGCGUUAAUCGGAAUUACUGGGCGUAAAGCGCGCGUAGGUGGUUCAGCAAGUUGGAUGUGAAAUCCCCGGGCUCAACCUGGGAACUGCAUCCAAAACUACUGAGCUAGAGUACAGUAGAGGGUGGUGGAAUUUCCUGUGUA
rnacentral:rRNA from 1 species